CCUACGGGUGGCAGCAGUGAGGAAUAUUGGUCAAUGGCCGGAAGGCUGAACCAGCCAUGCCGCGUGAAGGUCAGUGCCCUAUGGGCGUUAAACUUCUUUUGUGCGGGAGCAAUAAUGGUCACGUGUGGCCAGACGAGAGUACCGUACGAAUAAGCAUCGGCUAACUCCGUGCCAGCAGCCGCGGUAAUACGGGGGAUGCAAGCGUUAUCCGGAUUUAUUGGGUUUAAAGGGUGCGUAGGCUGUGAGGUAAGUCAGCGGUGAAAUGCCCCCGCUCAACGGGGUGAAGUGCCAUUGAUACUGCCUGGCUGGAAUGCGGAUGCGGUGGGAGGAAUGUGUGGUGUAGCGGUGAAAUGCAUAGAUAUCACACAGAACACCGAUUGCGAAGGCAUCUCACGAAGCCGCGAUUGACGCUGAUGCACGAAAGCGUGGGUAUCAAACAGGAUUAGAUACCCGAGUAGUC
rnacentral:rRNA from 1 species